rnacentral:lncRNA from 1 species
AGUCCUUGAGCUUGCAAGGCAGGUGGCAGAGCCACUAAGCUAAAUCCCUGGCCCUCAAAGCUGCUCUUAAGCCAGACUGUGACACCUGAUCCUCUUACAACUACAGACCUGACCUGGCAUCUGCAGGAGCCAGGUGCCUUGAGGGGUAGCCUGGUGGACAGGUGAGGCUCACCCUGGUUCAGGUGCACUCCAGGAUCUAGCUGCUUGGCCACCUCCUUGGAUUGGGUCAGGCGUGGGCUCAGGACCCCUCUUCCCUGAAGAAACAUGUUCCUGAGGACCUGAAGAGUCCCAGGGCAGAAGGCAGGCCUGGCCGGGGUGGUCAGGAUUCACAACCCUUCUCGACCUGACACACAGAGGCUUUGGGCACUGGAGAAGCUGCUAGUCCCACUGGGAGGGCAGGGCUUUGUCCCUCAGCUGGGCGCUGGGGCCGCAGGGGACAGCUGAAGCACUUAUCACCCCAGUGGGCACCAAGCCCAGAGGGGUGUGGUCUUCCUGAUCAUUGGAGGCCUCUCUGGGUAACCCUAGGGUGGGCUGAUCUUCAGCAAGCAUGGGAGCAGGUGCUGUCACUCUCCUAGACGGACUCUCAGCUCUGCUUAGACAGAGGCAGGUAGGAGGGCAGACAGAUGCUAGUGUAGGACCAUGGCAUAUGCACCUGACCUCCCAAAUGCAGGUCUCUUCUGGAGGUCUGGACUCAGCACUGUGCUUGCCCUACAGGGACCCUUAUCACCCCCACAAAGAAGCAGGGCAGCUGGGCCAAGCCCAACCACCUCAGCGCUCUAGGUGCCCCCACUCCGGGGUCUGAGGCUGAUGUCCCCGUUGGGCCACUUACCACUGGGCCCCAGGGCUGGCAGUGCCUGCUGCCUGUGGGAAAGGCCAGGCUCUGGCCAGCUACUGCAGCCUUGACCAGUGAGCUGAAUGCAGAUGUCCUUAAACUGCUGUUUGUGGUGGGGCCAGCACAAACUGGUAGAAGCCUGUUGGGGAGGGUUAAGUCCAGACCUAUAGAUUCCAUGCCCUUCAGCCACAGGGCUGGGGACCCUGGGGACCAUGAGCUGCCCACUCGGCUCCUUCCAGAAAGCAAGAACAACUUGGGGCCGUGGUAGCCUCCUGCCCAUUCUGGCAGCCCCCACCCACUGCACAGCUGUGGCCCUGUCCAUGGCAGAGCCUUCUGCAGGCUAGGGCACCUUGGAGCAGGGUGUGCUUCUUGGGGUCUUCAGCAAAGAGGCAACUGAGGCAGUCCAUCAGUGCUUUGAGGUCUCCCGGAACCCUUGUAGACCUUCAGGGCCUGGGUAAAGGUGUCAAAGCUAGCUUGGCUCAGUGUCUGCUUCACAGCCACCAUGAACAGCUUGGCUGCGCUCUUCCUGUGUACCAGCUUCUGGCUUCUCCUGAUGGACACAUGCCCAAGGCCACUGUCAGGACCAGCCCUGUCCCUCCUGCCCCCAGGGCAGUGCAGACCCCAAGACUCCCAGGGCCUGUAGGUGCUGCUGCCUGGUGGGGACAGAGGGUGGAGGCCCCUGGAGGAGAAGCUCAGUCCUGGAGCAUGGGUGGCCUCGGCCUGGCUGGGGUCACACCAGAGGCAGCCAGGAGGCCUGUAGAACCCACAAGUUCUCCUCCCCAAGGCAGGUACAGCUAGAGCUGAGCUCUGGAGAACCAGCAGCUCACAGCAAGGGCGUGCUCCACAGACUCCAGCCCACUUCUGCGUGCCUCAGACCCAGAGAAACCAAAGCAAAGAUGGCACAGCCAGCCCCCACCUUGCCCUGCCCAGCCCACAGAGGGCCUAGCCUUUUAGCAGCCAGUCCACUUCCUGCAGGCACCAGCCCUAGCUGGGCACUGCCUGGUUCUUCCCAGAAGCUGAGGGACAUGGACAAAAGCAACCACACUUGGGGCUUUCCAGCAGGCAAAGGGGCUUCCUGCCUCAGCCUGUUAAUCAGUUGCUUUCAUCUGAGACUGGGGACAUUCUGUACUGCCUCACACAGGCCAGAGCUACAACUCAGGAAAAGCCAGGGCCAAGAGGACAGUGGUCCACCAUCGCUGGGAGAAUCAUGGAUGGCUGCAGGCCCUGAACAGAAUGUACCCAGGGGCUGGGCCAGAUUCUGGCUGGGAAAGAUGGGCUCUCACGGAAGGAACUGCAAACAAACUCCCUGGGCUUUCAACAUCUCAGCUACCCAGGAAGUCCAUUUCCAUGGGUCUGCUCUGGCUCACACCCCUGCUUGGUUGGGGGCCACCUGUGCAGGAGCCAGAUUUCCAGACUGUGCGUGAGCGGCCAGGAGACUGCAGAGAGGGCUCACAUACCUGGUGGCUGACCAGCCUGACCUUCUUCCUUCCUCCUCUCUGCUCAUCAGCCAGCCUCUUCUCACACUGAAGGGACAGGGUAGACCGACCAACUGCCUAAAGGGGACACAGCUGUGGUCUCAACCCAACCCUGAGAGUACCUGUGACAUCCCUCGGCUCCCCACGAUCCCUGGUUGCUCUCUGGGUCCUCCACAGCCGGCGAUCCUGUAGGAGCAUUGGUAUGGCAGCAAAGCUUACCGGAGGCCAGCCUGCAGGAAGCAACUAGUCCUGCCAGGUGGGCUCCUGCCUCUGCCCUGCAUGGCCCUCAUCCAGCCCCACACACCUGCUGGCUUCUGCCUCAGGCUGGGCACAUGCACGUCUAGACUUGUGGCUUUUCUGGUUGCGAGGAGAGGUCCAGGCAAUGUGGUCACCUUGGCAGCAGCUUUUCCCUCACCCACACCUGGGGCCAAAGCCCUGGGGACUGGGGCGGGCAUCUGCAGGACGAAGGGUGUGUGAGGGCUGCCUCUGUGGCUCCUCGGGUGGGGGGACACCCAUCCCCCCUUGGGCAGAGUGUGAGGCAGCCGGGCAUUCAGGUGCUCACAGUUCUCUGAGCAACACGGAAGAACUGGGCUACAUCCCGGAUGACAUGGCCAAAGUUGUUGUACACCUUGAGGUAGGGGCGCACCCAGGAGGGCAGCUGGGCUUUGGCAUCUGCAUAGGUGAACCUGGAGGGAUAUGCAGCCAUCAGCCCAGCGUGCUCUGCUCAAGGGCCCAAGGCCAGCCCUCCCUGUAGCUCAUACCACUACUGCACAGAGGUCUCCAAGUGGAGCCAUGAAGCUCAGACCCCACAGAGCCAGAGGCUACCAUGGCCUUCACGGAGGGGAAGAAGGUCCAGGGCAGAGAAAGCCCUUGAGCAGUGGGAGCAUGUGGGGUGGCUAGGUGGAGCCCUGUCAGUACCUGUGGUCACACAAGAAGAUGGCCCCAUAGUCAUGGCGGUGCCUGAUGACCCGCCCAAUGGCCUGGUUCACAGCCCUGGACGCCUGCUGCCGGUACCAUUCUUGCCCUGAGAGGAACUACAGGGCAAGAGUCUCAAGCACAGAGACCCCUGGUCACUGGGUCCUUGCUUUUUCCCUGCCCCUGGCCCUGUGGUCUCACCUGGCCUCCAGCUUGGCUCUGGCCCCGCAUCUCAUCCAGGAACUGCAUCUUGAGGACAACCCGAGGAUCCAUGCGUGGGGGAUACGGGAGGCCCGUGAUGAUCACACCACGACCAUUUAUGUCUGAGAAGUCCAGCCCCUCGCUGGCCUAGGACCUGAACCCAGGAAUUGCCUAGGGGUGGCGGGCAUUCCCCUUCCCUACUUGCUUUUCCCGAAGCUUGGCACUUUCCUCAAGGGUCCAUCUAUAUCCUAACCUCAGCCACCUCUCCCUACUACGGGGAGAGGUAGAAGGAAGCUCCUCUCUUGGGCCAGGCCCUCCACAGCUCCCAGAACCCCAUGACCAACACCCCCAUGCUCAGAACCUCCUGUGUCUUGCCUCUCCCUGGCCUAUGCCAGCCAGGGCCCAGCAGGCCCCAUAGCUCCACUCCCUCAUCUGUUUGCGCGAUGUGGGGCCCAAGGCAGGGAUGGACCUGUGCCCUGAGGGCCUGAUGAGCCCUGAGCCCCUACCAGAGGCCAGGCAGGGACUCAGACUCUCACAAAGGCCUCACCUUGCCCCGGCACACCGCCAGGAAGGUAGCCCCACUGGACCCAGGGGAGGCGACACGCUGGUAAUAAGCAUCGAUGACCUAGAAGGCGAGGACAGUCACCCCAAGCUCUGAGCCCCAGCCCCUUCCUCCUCAAGUCAUGAUGACCCCAUAGCUCACCCUGGGAAGAAGGCCUCAUCCCGGCCACACCCAACCCACACGCAGCGCCCAAAGCCGGUUCAGUUUCCCCGUGAACACAGGGAACCCCAGGGUGAGGGCAGCACGUAGGGCAUGAGGGUCAGCUGUCACUGUCACCAUGUCCAAAUGCUUUUAGCAACUUUCUAAACAGCUACACACCCAGGGACAGGGAGGCAGCCCAGGCCCCCUGAAGAGGCAGCCUGGAGCCAGCCAGAGCCCGGGUCAGAGAUGGAGGCCAUCCCAGGAGCCUCCAGGGGCUCUGCGGGGUCAGCAGGCCCAGAGUCCAGGUUGGGCACAGACCUCUGAGAAGCUGCCUUUGCUUCUGGGCUCCACAAACAGAGGUUUCAGCACCUCCACCUUCCUGGCCAAGUCUCGGGCCUGUGGAAGGAAGUCAGGACGUGCACAGGCCAGGCACUCACCCACUGGACCUGCGCAAGCUCAGGGCUCCCACAGCUGCCUCUGUACCCUGGCACUGCCCACCCACCUGGCCUCUUGGAGGGGAGGGGAGGGGGUCGUACCCGCCAGAAGGCCAGGCUGUUCUCCAUGACAGGGUAGGAAGGGAAGAAGACCAGAAGCCCAUGGGGCACUACACGGGCGAUGUUGCCUGGAAGCAGAGGACUGGUCAGGAUAGGUGCUGGGCGUCUGCAGACUUCCACCGCCCUUGGGAAGAG